rnacentral:sRNA from 19 species
GUCAAUUACCCACCGCCCCUAGAGGCGGAGGCUUGUAGAAAUACAAGCUCGGUUGAUUAGCCUAUGUCAUUAGUUUUUGCUAAUGAUUAGUUAUAGCAGAAUAUAUAGUCACCGUGGGAUGCUCCACAAGUCCCAUGCUCUGAG